UAAUACGUAGGGGGCGAGCGUUGUCCGGAAUUAUUGGGCGUAAAGAGCGUGUAGGCGGUUCGGUAAGUCUGCCGUGAAAACCCAGGGCUCAACCCUGGGCGUGCGGUGGAUACUGCCGGGCUAGAGGGUGGUAGAGGCGAGUGGAAUUCCCGGUGUAGCGGUGAAAUGCGCAGAUAUCGGGAGGAACACCAGUAGCGAAGGCGGCUCGCUGGGCCAUACCUGACGCUGAGACGCGAAAGCGUGGGGAGCAAACAG
rnacentral:rRNA from 1 species